GCUGAAAUAACUCAGUAGGGAGAGCGUUAGACUGAAGAUCUAAAGGUCCCUGGUUCGAUCCCGGGUUUCGGCA
rnacentral:tRNA from 1 species